GAGCAGACAAGAAUGUGUACGCCAUGUGCUGGCUUUGAAAAAGCCUUGGAAAUUCAAUAGAGCUGUUAUUUAAGCGGCCAGAGAAGUAGUAACCAUGAGCUGACAACGAACAAUAUACCAGGCAGCUGUUAACAUCACGUUGCAUGUAAGGCAGACAAGCCCCUUUCCUGAGGAUGUUACAAGCUGAAAUGUUAUUUUAAUAGCUAAAACUGCUGCAGUGAUAGUAGCAAAACACGACUUCAUUAUCAAAACCCUUACCAAGCUGGAAAGAAAAAUCAGCGUUGCUACAUAAGAAAAUUAUAAAUCUCAUUUUAAAAACAGUUUUGGAGUAGAUGAUUUUUAAUUGCUUAAAGAAUUCUGGUGCUGAUGGCUUGGCUUCAGUGGGAGGUGGCUUGAAAGAAGGGGCAAUGGAAAUCCUGCAGGGUUGCAGGUGGAUGGCAGCCACCACCAUGGACAUGCCUGUUUCCUGGAGCGUUGCUCAAGUUGACUAGCAAGAACGAAGCAAGCAAAGGGCAUGCCAGCUGCCUUGAGUACCACAGGGGAUUUUGUUGGAAUGAGCACACCUUUGUGCAAUACUGAUCUCAAUCAGCCCUUUCUGAUGGGCAACCUUUCUGCUGAAAAGCAGUUGCUGUGUCUCACAGUUUUAUACCUUGGAUCCCAUCGUGGACUGACUGCCUGAAGACAUGAUCGUUCUCUGAGAUGGUUUCCACAUAAGGAAUUUAGCUGCAACCAGCCAAGGAAUGGAUGGGUGUUAUAGGAAGAUUACAUGGCAGAUGGAAGAAGACGUGCAUUUCUAUUUUGAUGCAGUGGUAGAUAUAAGGAAUGGAUCUCUAAAGCAGCUCACUUCAGAAUAGGAUUGGAGCACAGAAAAUAGGCAGAAUGGACCCCCAGAUCUUCAUCCAUCAAGAGAAGGGUGGCAUCACUUGGACAGGAGGGUGUCGAGGGGCUGGUUGGGUGAUCUGGCCCUUCCUUCAGUGAGAGGAAGGCACAGCAAAGCUUGGUAUUAUGUAUACAUGCACAUAUACUCUCCUGACAGAGCACAACCACCCAGAAACAGGAGCAGAACU
rnacentral:lncRNA from 1 species